AACAACGACUCUGGAGAGUCUCAGUAAGAGCGCCGAAGGUGUACAGCAGUUUCAUCAGCUGCCAAUCUCUCAGGCAAAAGGACAGAGUAUACACA
rfam:Blautia sp. YL58, complete genome.